AGAGUUUGAUCAUGGCUCAGGACAAACGCUGGUGGCAUGCCUAACACAUGCAAGUCGAACGGACGGAACAGGGAAGCCCUUCGGAGUGGAACUGGAAAGUUAGUGGCGGAUGGGUGAGUAACGCGUGGACAACCUACCUUGUAAAGGGGAAUAACCUCGAGAAAUCGAAGCUAAUACCCCAUAAUAACCUUGAUUCGCAUGAAGCAAGGAGGAAAGGCGGCCUUAGCGCUGUCGAUAGAAGAUGGGUCCGCGUCUGAUUAGCUAGUUGGUGAGGUAAAGGCUCACCAAGGCGACGAUCAGUAGCCGGCCUGAGAGGGUGAACGGCCACAUUGGGACUGAGACACGGCCCAAACUCCUACGGGAGGCAGCAGUGGGGAAUCUUCCGCAAUGGGCGAAAGCCUGACGGAGCAAUGCCGCGUGAGUGAAGAAGGCCUUCGGGUUGUAAAACUCUGUCCUAGACGAAGAGAGAGUAUUGUAGUAACUGACAAUACUAGGACGGUAGACUAGGAGGAAGCCCCGGCUAACUAUGUGCCAGCAGCCGCGGU
rnacentral:rRNA from 1 species